rnacentral:rRNA from 1 species
UACGUAGGGGGCAAGCGUUGUCCGGAUUUAUUGGGCGUAAAGAGCGCGUAGGCGGCUAGGUAGGUCCGUUGUGAAAACUCGAGGCUCAACCUCGAGACGUCGAUGGAAACCAUCUAGCUAGAGUCCGGAAGAGGAGAGUGGAAUUCCUGGUGUAGCGGUGAAAUGCGCAGAUAUCAGGAAGAACACCCGUGGCGGAGGCGGCUCUCUGGUACGUGACUGACGCUGAGGCGCGAAAGCGUGGGGAGCGAACAGG